rnacentral:pre_miRNA from 1 species
ACAGUGAUCAGGUUACGAUGGAUUUCUCUAGUAACAGCCUCGUAGCUUGAUCACCAUCU